CUCUCUCUCUCUCUCUCUCUCUCUCUCUCUCUCUCUCUAUAUAUAUAUAUAUAUAUAUAUUCUUUUAAGAAUUUCUAUAAAUAUGCGAUGUUAACCCCUCAAAAAUGUUAUGGAAAACAUGGAGGGACACAAAAUUGGAAUAAUGGUUCUUCUUUUUUGCGGUACAAUUCUAUUGGGAGUUAAUCCGACAAAUGCUGCGAAACUUUGCCCAGAUAUUUGCUUGGACUAUGCGUAUAUGACCUGCCCAUCAUCAGGGAAUCAGAAGCUUGAUCCGGCCUGCAACUGCUGUUUUGCUCCAGGCUGCACCCUCUACCUCUCUGAUGGAACUUCUACUUACUGUAAUUGAUGGAACAGACGAUUCACACGCUCUUUACAAUCUCCAAUAUGCUUGCAAAUAAUGAGAUUGGAUGUGUGACAAAAAUAAAUAAUAAAAAUAAAACAAGUGAGACUUAUUGUCUCUAUGGUCUAAUA